AUACCUUUCUCGGCCUUUUGGCUAAGAUCAAGUGUAGUAUCUGUUCUUAUCAGUUUAAUAUCUGAUACGUGGACCAAUGGUCCACACGAUAUUAAAUUAAUUUCUUUAGGGGGAGGGUCCAUUACAGUAGCUUGCUAUUGGGACUCUCGUGUGUCGCCCAAGCGUUGCACUAUUGCAUGGGCCUGGCGCACCCCAC
rnacentral:snRNA from 1 species